GACGAACGCUGGCGGCGUGCCUAAUACAUGCAAGUAGAACGCUGAAGAGAGGAGCUUACUCUUCUUGGAUGAGUUGCGAACGGGUGAGUAACGCGUAGGUAACCUGCCUUGUAGCGGGGGAUAACUAUUGGAAACGAUAGCUAAUACCGCAUAACAAUGGAUGACACAUGUCAUUUAUUUGAAAGGGGCAAUUGCUCCACUACAAGAUGGACCUGCGUUGUAUUAGCUAGUAGGUGAGGUAAUGGCUCACCUAGGCGACGAUACAUAGCCGACCUGAGAGGGUGCUCGGCCACACUGGGACUGAGACACGGCCCAGACUCCUACGGGAGGCAGCAGUAGGGAAUCUUCGGCAAUGGGGGCAACCCUGACCGAGCAACGCCGCGUGAGUGAAGAAGGUUUUCGGAUCGUAAAGCUCUGUUGUAAGUCAAGAACGGGUGUGAGAGUGGAAAGUUCACACUGUGACGGUAGCUUACCAGAAAGGGACGGCUAACUACGUG
rnacentral:rRNA from 1 species